GCUAAACGCGAAGAACCUUACCAAGGCUUGACAUGUACAGGAAAGUUCCAGAGAUGGUUCCCCCGCAAGGUCUGUAUACAGGUGCUGCAUGGCUGUCGUCAGCUCGUGUCGUGAGAUGUUGGGUUAAGUCCCGCAACGAGCGCAACCCUUAUCGUAUGUUGCCAGCAUUUAGUUGGGCACUCAUGCGAGACUGCCGGUGAUAAGCCGGAGGAAGGCGGGGACGACGUCAAGUCAUCAUGGCCCUUACGUGUAGGGCUAGAAACGUGCUACAAUGGUGGUCACAAUGGGCAGCGAAGUCGUGAGGCUAAGCUAAUCCCAAAAAGCCAUCUCAGUUCAGAUUGUAGUCUGCAACUCGACUACAUGAAGUUGGAAUCGCUAGUAAUCGCAAAUCAGCAUGUUGCGGUGAAUACGUUCCCGGGUCUUGUACACACCG
rnacentral:rRNA from 1 species